rnacentral:rRNA from 1 species
CCUACGGGUGGCAGCAGUAAGGAAUAUUGGUCAAUGGACGAAAGUCUGAACCAGCCAUCCCGCGUGCAGGAUGAAAGCCCUAUGGGUUGUAAACUGCUUUUAGCAGAGAAGAAAAGCUUUCAUUAAUGAGAGUCUGACGGUAUCUUCAGAAUAAGCACCGGCUAACUCCGUGCCAGCAGCCGCGGUAAUACGGAGGGUGCGAGCGUUAUCCGGAUUUACUGGGGUUAAGGCGUAGUUUGAAGUCAGAUUUGAAAUCUUGUCGCUUAACGAGAAAAUUGCCAAUGAUACUGGUACUCUUGAAGUGGGUUGAGGUUAGCGGAAUGUGACAUGUAGCGGUGAAAUGCAUAGAUAUGUCAUGGAACACCAAUUGCGAAGGCAGCUAACUGGGCCUUGAUUGACGCUGAGGCACGAAAGCGUGGGUAGCGAACAGGAUUAGAUACCCUUGUAGUC